GUGUCAGCCGCCGCGGUAAGACGAACCGUGCGAACGUUGUUCGGAAUCACUGGGCUUAAAGGGCGCGUAGGCGGGCGUGCAAGUCAGGGGUGAAAUCCUCCGGCUCAACCGGAGAACAGCUUUUGAUACUGCACGCCUCGAGGGGGGUAGGGGCAUGUGGAACUUCCGGUGGAGCGGUGAAAUGCGUAGAUAUCGGAAGGAACGCCGGUGGCGAAAGCGACGUGCUGGACCCCUUCUGACGCUGAGGCGCGAAAGCCAGGGGAGCAAACGGGAUUAGAAACCCUGGUAGUCC
rnacentral:rRNA from 1 species